rnacentral:rRNA from 1 species
GACGAACGCUGGCGGCGUGCUUAACACAUGCAAGUCGAACGGAAAGGCCCUGCUUUUGUGGGGUGCUCGAGUGGCGAACGGGUGAGUAACACGUGAGUAACCUGCCCUUGACUUUGGGAUAACUUCAGGAAACUGGGGCUAAUACCGGAUAGGAGCUCCUGCUGCAUGGUGGGGGUUGGAAAGUUUCGGCGGUUGGGGAUGGACUCGCGGCUUAUCAGCUUGUUGGUGGGGUAGUGGCUUACCAAGGCUUUGACGGGUAGCCGGCCUGAGAGGGUGACCGGCCACAUUGGGACUGAGAUACGGCCCAGACUCCUACGGGAGGCAGCAGUGGGGAAUAUUGCACAAUGGGCGGAAGCCUGAUGCAGCAACGCCGCGUGCGGGAUGACGGCCUUCGGGUUGUAAACCGCUUUCGCCUGUGACGAAGCGUGAGUGACGGUAAUGGGUAAAGAAGCACCGGCUAACUACGUGCCAGCAGCCGCGGUGAUACGUAGGGUGCGAGCGUUGUCCGGAUUUAUUGGGCGUAAAGGGCUCGUAGGUGGUUGAUCGCGUCGGAAGUGUAAUCUUGGGGCUUAACCCUGAGCGUGCUUUCGAUACGGGUUGACUUGAGGAAGGUAGGGGAGAAUGGAAUUCCUGGUGGAGCGGUGGAAUGCGCAGAUAUCAGGAGGAACACCAGUGGCGAAGGCGGUUCUCUGGGCCUUUCCUGACGCUGAGGAGCGAAAGCGUGGGGAGCGAACAGGCUUAGAUACCCUGGUAGUCCGCGCUGUAAACGGUGGGUACUAGGUGUGGGGUCCAUUCCACGGGUUCCGUGCCGUAGCUAACGCUUUAAGUACCCCGCCUGGGGAGUACGGCCGCAAGGCUAAAACUCAAAGGAAUUGACGGGGCCCCGCACAAGCGGCGGAGCAUGCGGAUUAAUUCGAUGCAACGCGUAGAACCUUACCUGGGUUUGACAUGGAUCGGGAGUGCUCAGAGAUGGGUGUGCCUCUUUUGGGGUCGGUUCACAGGUGGUGCAUGGCUGUCGUCAGCUCGUGUCGUAAGAUGUUGGGUUAAGUCCCGCAACGAGCGCAACCCUUGUUCACUGUUGCCAGCACGUUAUGGUGGGGACUCAGUGGAGACCGCCGGGGUCAACUCGGAGGAAGGUGGGGAUGACGUCAAGUCAUCAUGCCCCUUAUGUCCAGGGCUUCACGCAUGCUACAAUGGCUGGUACAGAGAGUGGCGAGCCUGUGAGGGUGAGCGAAUCUCGGAAAGCCGGUCUCAGUUCGGAUUGGGGUCUGCAACUCGAUCUCAUGGAGUCGGAGUCGCUAGUAAUCGCAGAUCAGCAACGCUGCGGUGAAUACGUUCCCGGG